rnacentral:lncRNA from 1 species
UAACUUCACCCUGAAUAACAUAGUCCAAAUUCAACUAUACCCAUCUAGGGCAACUUUAAAGGGCAGGUAAAGGCCUUGCCCCUCUCUCAAAAUUGAAAAUCAUGCAAUUUAAUCUGUUUAUAACUAAUGAAAAAUUAAAUUAAUAUCUGAUAAAAUUACACUUUAAUCCCUCAAAAAUAAAAAAUAAAAAUAUUUAAUCCUUUCAAAAAUAAUAAAACCAG